rnacentral:lncRNA from 1 species
AGAGGAUCACCAGGACUCGGUGAAUGAUGGGUGAAUGAGAUCAGGGAGAAAGUUUUGAUGAGGAUCAGAGCAUAUUACCCUCAAGUAUGUCAUUUUGUCACAUUGAUUAUUUUGAGCUAAAGGCAAUUGAAAAUAGAGACCAGAAGGUUUCUCUGCUCUCCCCUUUUCUACCUAAAGCAGAGUACAUUUUUCCUGAGAAAUCUGCUCUUCUUGUACCAGGAAGAGAACAUUCAUGUCACCAGGGACGAGGGGGGGUCAAUGACAAGAUGAGUCUGUACAAACAGUACUCAGGGGUUACUUUUAUAAGGUAGAAAAGUUCUUAAAAAGUAACCUUAUCUUCCAUAAGUCAUCCAGUAAACUUCCUAGUCUCUUUCCCAUGAUUUACCACCCCGAGCUCCAGCCCCUUUCUCCUUUGCCCUAUCAUGUCUCCACAUUUGCUGUUCUUUGUUAAAAUGGUAUGGAAGCCCUGGGUCUAGCUCCUGCUUCAGGGUUUUUACUUCUUCUGGGAAGCCCUCUCCCAUACCACAUAAAAAUAUUCAUAUCAGAUAAAGUGUGUAUGCUUUUUCUCCUGCUAGUCUCCUUGGUCAGUUCAACCCACAGGCCCCAGCCAUAGUAUUUAGGAAGGUCACGUACAACAUCCAGGAUUUGGGCUUGGGCGUGUGAGUG